UGGACCCUUGAAGAAAACAUCUUCAACAUACUGAAUUAUGGACUCUGCCUCACUGCAUUCAAUGUUACCUGCUAUGUAGCACUCUAGGAAUGCCCUUGAGAGCAUCAUGGGAGUAAACUUUAUAAGAUCUUCAGCUUCAAGAUGAGGAAGAACUUCUAGUUUUUCCAUCCAUGGCCAUUUCUGGUCGCAUAAUACUAAUGAGCAAUAGUAUGUAGCUUGCUCGUUGGGUUGUUGAAACUUGCAAUUUUCAUAGUCCUUUCUUAAAUUUUCCUUAAUCACAGCAAACCUGUCAGGAUUCACAUAAAAUUUUGCAAUUUUUCCAAUGAUAGUUUCCAGCAAGGUCUUCAGUUUGUGAUUAUAACCAUUCAGAGUCACCUGAAAACCACUAGCUGCGAUGUUUAUGUGAUAAUAUAGACCAGCAACACGUGCAUUGUAAGCAUAUUCAUUCAAGUAAUCCUUUAACAAUCGAGUAAAAAUGAUU
rnacentral:misc_RNA from 1 species